rnacentral:rRNA from 1 species
CCUACGGGAGGCAGCAGUGAGGAAUAUUGGUCAAUGGACGAGAGUCUGAACCAGCCAAGUAGCGUGAAGGAUGACUGCCCUAUGGGUUGUAAACUUCUUUUAUAUGGGAAUAAAACGUUCCACGUGUGGGAUUUUGUAUGUACCAUAUGAAUAAGGAUCGGCUAACUCCGUGCCAGCAGCUGCGGUAAUACGGAGGAUCCGAGCGUUAUCCGGAUUUAUUGGGUUUAACGGGAGCGUAGGUGGAGUGUUAAGUCAGUUGUGAAUGUUUGCGGCUCAACCGUAAAAUUGCAGUUGAGACUGGCAGUCUUGAGUGCAGCAGAGGUGGGCGGAAGUCGUGGUGUAGCGGUGAAAUGCUUAGAUAUCACGAAGAACUCCGAUGGCGAAGGCAGUUCACUAGACUGCAACUGACACUGAGGCUCGAAAGUGUGGGUAUCAAACAGGAUUAGAUACCCUAGUAGUC